UUAGGAAUCUUGGGCAAUGGGCGCAAGCCUGACCCAGCCAUGCCGCGUGUGUGAAGAAGGCCUUCGGGUUGUAAAGCACUUUCAGUGGCGAAGAAAAGUUUGGGGCUAAUAACCUCGAGUUUUGACGUUAUCCACAGAAGAAGCACCGGCUAACUCCGUGCCAGCAGCCGCGGUAAUACGGAGGGUGCGAACGUUAAUCGGAAUUACUGGGCGUAAAGCGCGCGUAGGCGGUUCGAUAAGUGGGAUGUGA
rnacentral:rRNA from 1 species